ensembl:lncRNA
UAUUUGUAUUGGUUUUAUUUUUGUUUUUUUUUUUUUUUUUUUUUUUUAGUGUUAUCUGCCCUUCCUUUAAUUCAUACUAUGCUGAGUUCAACUCCAAUAAGAGAUAAAAAAAUAUAUGAAUGUUGCAAAUUGAUACAUAUGACAUUAACAAAAAUAGAAGGUAAUAAUAAACAUAAAGAUAAUGUGCAUUAUGCUUUUGAAGAAAAAAAUAAAAAUGUUGAAUUAACUUCUCAUAAAUUACAAGAUUUAGAAUGGAUAGCUAAUGAAACGAAUGAUAAAGGUUGGUUAACAAUUUCUGAUAGAUGGGAAUUAUGUAAAAGAGAUUUGAAAUGGUUAUGUAUAGAAACGAACAAUAGAUCCUGGUUAUUAUAUCGUUCUUUAUGGGAACAUAGUUCAGCAGAUUUAAAAUAUGUAGCUGUACUAUGUAAUGACAAAAAUUGGCUACAUUUAUAUAAUAUUUGGAAAUUAAUUCCUAUGAGUAUAAAAUUAAAUGCUAUUUUAUAUAAUAACCCAACUAUUUGUAAAGCUUCAUUAAGUGAAAUUAUAACGAGUGAUAAUCAUAUUUACAGAAAUAAUAUUUUUGAAAAAGAUUUAUGUACAUUAAAUGUUUGUAAUUUAAAAAAUUAUUAUUUAAAAAAUAAUAAGAAACAGGAUAAAUUAUAUGGUAAUAUUAUAAGAUCUAUUAGUAGCUCUUCUGAAAGGUCUAUAAAAACAAAUUGUAUCUCAAAUCCUUACAUUGAAAUAGAAGAAAGUGAAAAUAUGUUACAAGAAGAAACAUUAUCAGAUAAUAUAUGUGAAAAUGUAGAUAAAAGAAAUAUAUUAUCUGCUUUUGAAAUAAAAAAAUAUUCUGCAAAAAUAUUAAAUAAAAGUACCACAACACCAUUUAACCAAGAAAAUGUAAAUAUUAAAAAAGCAUUUACUAAUACAAAAAUGACUUUCCCGUUAAAAAAAAAUUCCCUAGCUACCUACAACAACAAAAACAACUUAGUUGAAAAACAUAUAUCAAAAACAUGUGUAACAACUGUUACAAAAAAGGAUACCAUGAAAACGACAGUAAAAGUUGAUAUAAAUAAAAACGAAAAAAAUCAAUUAAAUGAUGAAAAAGUAGAUAUUUCAAUGGUUAAUAAGAUAUUAGAGCAAAAAAAUAUGUUAUUACCAUUAAAAACUAAUGUGUUAAUAAAAAGAAAUGAAGAAGUUUCUAAGUUUAUGUAUAAUAAUAAAGCAUAUUCGUUGAAAGGGGAAAUAAACAAAUCAUUAAAUCCGUUGAUGAUAAAAACAAGUACACCAAAAGAACCGAAAAUGAUAAAGAAGAACAUACCACUGAGUAAAGAAUCUUCUGUUGAGAAAAAUAAUACAAAUACGAACCAUGUAUUGAAUCGCGUAUUGAACCACGUAUCUAAGGACGUAUCGAAGGGUGUAUCGAAGGGUGUAUCGAAGGGCGUAUUGAACCACGUAUCUAAGGACGUAUCUAAGGACGUAUUGAACCACGUAUCUAAGGACGUAUCGAAGGGCGUAUUGAACCACGUAUCUAAGGACGUAUCGAAGGGCGUAUUGAACCACGUAUCUAAGGACGUAUCGAAGGGCGUAUUGAACCACGUAUCGAAGGACGUAUCGAAGGACGUAUCGAAGGAUGUAUCGAAGGGCGUAUCUAAGGACGUAUUGAAGGACGUAUCAAAUAAAAACUGUGAUAUGUUGUUGAAAAAAAACAAAGAUAAUAAUAUUUUAAAAGAAAAAGUAGAUGGAAGUAAAAAAGAAAAUUUUUUAAAAACUAGCACAGAAAUUAAAAAUUCAGAUUUUAAAGUUAAACAAAAUUUAAUGAAAAUAAAAGAACAAAAUGAAAAAGUAAUCCCAACAAUUAAGAAAACAUAUAGUUUAAAAGAAAAUAUAACUUAUCCAAAUAAAAAUAAAAAUUUUACUAAAAAUAAAAUGAAGGAUUUUUUAUAUAAGAAUAAUAUACAAAAUAAUGAUGAUAUAAAUAAUAUAAGUUUGUCUAAUAAUAACAUUUUUGGUAUAUCAAUUAAUAUAAAAAAAGGAGAAGUCUUAAAUAAAGAUAAGUUUUCAACAGAUAAAAUAAAAGGUAAUGUAUCAGGAGGGGUAGAAAGAACUAAUAACGCUCUUGCUCAUAAUGUUUCUAAUUAUAUUGAUAAUAUAUUUAAUACUCUUAACUUUUUAGCUCCUAAGAAAAUAGAAAAUGGUGACUCGAAGGAAACAGGGAUGAAUGAAAGUAAUGGAAGUAAUGGAAGUAAUGGAAGUAAUGGAAGUAAUGGAAGUAAUGGAAGUAAUAGAAGUAAUGGAAGUAAUGGAAGUAAUAGAAGUAAUAGAAGUAAUAGAAGUAAUGGAAGUAAUGAAAAAGAAAAGGGAGGAGAAACAAGACAAAAUAAAGAGAGUAUUGAAAAUGUAAAUGAAAAAAAAAUCACAAGUUCGGAAGUUAAAAAAAAUGUACAACAAAAAAGGGAGAGUGGAAGUUUAGAGAAUAAUGACAGUGAUUCAGUAAAAAGUAUAAAAAUAAAAAAUAAUAAGAAUCAAAGUCUUAAAGAUGAGAUAAUGAACACUUCGGAAAAUGUGUUUAAAACACAGAUAACAAAUACAGAUAAAAAAAAAAAUGAAAGUGUUAUACAAAAACAAGAUAGUAUUAAUGUUAAUAAAAAAGAAAAGGAAUUAAUAAAAAAAAAUAAUAAAAUUUGGAAUGAUUCUAUAAGUAGCAAUUUGAAAAGUUAUUCAAUAAAAAAAGAAUCAUCAUUAAAAGAAAACCAAAAUUUACAUAUUCAGAAUACAAUAAGUUCUAAACCCAAAUCAAGUAGGCACAAAUUUGAUAUUAAAAACGAGUUAUAUAAUAGUAAUAAUAGUGGUAUUAGUAAUAAUAGUCAUAUUAGUGGUAUUAAUGGUAUUAGUGGUAUUAGUAAUAAUAGUAAUAACAGCAAUAACAGCAAUAACAGUAAUAACAGUGAUAAUAGUGGUAUUAGUAAUAAUAGGUUGGUAAAAAAAAAAAGUUUGCAUGACUUGUUAGAUAAUCAUUUAUAUUUACUAAAUAAAGACUCAAACGUAAACAAUUUGAAAACACAGUCGAAAGCUAUAGAAAAAACAUUACCGAAUUUUGUACAAGAGAAAUCAGUUAAUGUUAUUUUACAAAAAUUAAUAGAUUCAGACUUACAAGAUUUGAAUACUAUGAAUAAAAGGAUGUCAGCUGAGGAAAUUGCUAAGCACAAAAAUGCAUCACUUCAGAUACAUGUCAAAAAAAAAAUGUCGUUAUCAUCUUUAAAAAUAAAAACAAAAAAAAAAAUUUAUCUAGUAUAUCUGAUAUGUCGAUGUGAUAUACUUUAUAUGAUGCACCACCCUAACUUUUGUUUUGUUUUGAUUUUGUUUGCCUUGAUUUUAUUUGUUUUGUCCUAACUUUGUUUUGCUAAUUUUUUUUUUUUUUUUUUUUUUUAUCUUCUCUUUAAUUAUAAAAUACAUUAUUCUGACAUUUUACUACUAUUUAUAUAUAAUAAAAUAAUAAAAAAAAAUAUAUAAAAUAAUUUU